rnacentral:rRNA from 1 species
CAGUGGGGAAUAUUGGACAAUGCGCGAAAGCGUGACGCAGCGACGCCGCGUGGGGGAUGAAGGCCCUCGGGUUGUAAACCCCGUUUCGGCAGGGACGAAGCGAAAGUGACGGUACCUGCAGAAGAAGUCCCGGCUAACUACGUGCCAGCAGCCGCGGUAACACGGUAGGGGACGAGCGUUGUCCGGAUUUAUUGGGCGUAAAGCGCGCGUAGGCGGCUCGGAAAGUCGGUCGUGAAAGGCCGGGGCUCAACCCCGGGGACUGCGUCCGAUACUUCCGGGCUGGAGGUAGGUGGGGGAGAUCGGAAUUCCUGGUGUAGCGGUGAAAUGCGCAGAUAUCAGGAGGAACACCGGUGGCGAAGGCGGAUCUCUGGGCCUUACCUGACGCUGAGGCGCGAAAGCUAGGGGAGCGAACAGGAUUAGAUACCCUGGUAGUCCUAGCCGUAAACGUUGGGUGCUAGGUGUGGGCGGACAUCGACCCCGUCCGUGCCGAAGCUAACGCAUUAAGCACCCCGCCUGGGGAGUACGGCCGCAAGGCUA